AAAAACAUAGGUUCCGAUAAUGCAAUAAGAUAACCCACAUGCAACCUAUAGCGAUACAUAGUAACAAUUUCAUUUCAAAAAGUAGGAGACAAUUAUGCUUAGCUGUUUGCCUUGGUUCUCUUCAGGCUCAAACUAGACAUCUACACCAGCCUUGGCUUCGGGCUCAAGGGUCACGUUCUUCGGCAAAUCACUUUCUAAAAGAAUGAAAUGCGUGCAUGCAUUAGAGAUGAUGC
rnacentral:lncRNA from 1 species